rnacentral:rRNA from 1 species
GACGAACGCUGGCGGCGUGCUUAACACAUGCAAGUCGAGCGGAAAGGCCACUUCGGUGGUACUCGAGCGGCGAACGGGUGAGUAACACGUGAGUAAUCUGCCCCUCACUUUGGGAUAGCCACCGGAAACGGUGAUUAAUACCGGAUAUGACCAUAUGUCGCAUGGCGUGUGGUGGAAAGUUUUUCGGUGAGGGAUGUGCUCGCGGCCUAUCAGCUUGAUGGUGAGGUAAUGGCUCGCCAUGGCUUCGACGGGUAGCCGGCCUGAGAGGGUGACCGGUCACACUGGGACUGAGACACGGCCCAGACUCCUACGGGAGGCAGCAGUGGGGAAUAUUGGACAAUGGGCGGAAGCCUGAUCCAGCAACGCCGCGUGAGGGAUGACGGCCUUCGGGUUGUAAACCUCUUUCAGUACCGACGAAGCGCAAGUGACGGUAGGUACAGAAGAAGCACCGGCCAACUACGU